rnacentral:rRNA from 1 species
UACGUAGGGGGCAAGCGUUGUCCGGAAUUAUUGGGCGUAAAGAGCUCGUAGGCGGUUUGUCGCGUCUGCUGUGAAAACCGGAGGCUCAACCUCCGGCCUGCAGUGGGUACGGGCAGACUAGAGUGCGGUAGGGGAGAUUGGAAUUCCUGGUGUAGCGGUGGAAUGCGCAGAUAUCAGGAGGAACACCGAUGGCGAAGGCAGAUCUCUGGGCCGUAACUGACGCUGAGGAGCGAAAGCGUGGGGAGCGAACAGG